rnacentral:rRNA from 1 species
UACGAAGGUGGCAAGCGUUGUUCGGAUUUAUUGGGCGUAAAGCGCGCGUAGGCGGUUUGAUAAGCCGGGUGUGAAACCUCCAAGCUCAACUUGGAGCGGCCACUCGGAACUGUCAUGACUUGAGUCAGGUAGGGGAACACGGAAUUCCAGGUGUAGCGGUGAAAUGCUUAGAUAUCUGGAGGAACACCAGUGGCGAAGGCGGUGUUCUGGGCCUGUACUGACGCUGAUGCGCGAAAGCGUGGGGAGCGAACAGG